UACAGAGGUCUCGAGCGUUGUUCGGAUUCAUUGGGCGUAAAGGGUGCGUAGGUGGCGCUGUAAGUCGGGUGUGAAAUUUCGGAGCUCAACUCCGAAACUGCAUUCGAUACUGCGGUGCUUGAGGACUGGAGAGGAGACUGGAAUUCAUGGUGUAGCAGUGAAAUGCGUAGAGAUCAUGAGGAAGACCAGUGGCGAAGGCGGGUCUCUGGACAGUUCCUGACACUGAGGCACGAAGGCCAGGGGAGCAAACGGG
rnacentral:rRNA from 1 species